GACAGUUAUGACAUUGGGUUUGGGGUUUAUUUUGAAUGGACAGACUCUCCAAACGCUGCUGUCAGUGUGCAUGUCAGUGAGUCCAGUGACGACGAAGAGGAGGAGGAAGAAGGUAGGCCUUGGUUCACAUCUAGUCCUGCUAACACUCAUAGACAGGAAGUGCUCUGUUCAGGAUUGGGAUAGUGGGUGAAAAGACUCUGAGAAAGGCCUGCCUGUCACAAAGGCCCUAAACAUGAAUUUCUCUAAAAUGCCAAGAAAGUCUGUUUGGUUCUGAGUGUUGUUUUACUUCAGUCUAGUGUGUUGGGAAGCUAAGUAUGUGAAGACCCUUAGAGGAGCGGAGUUGUUUGUAUAUUUUGUUUUUGAGACAGGAACUUACUUUCUUGUCCAGGCUGGUCUUGAACUGGUGAACUCAAAACAGCCCUCUUCCUCACCCUCCCUAGUAGCUGGGACUACUGGUGUAUGCCACCAUGCCCCAGUUUGUAAAGGUUUGAAAGAGCAAGUAAGAAUUCUUGCCAACAAAAGAAUUUAUAUUUCCGAUAACAACGUUUUUGUUUGAAAGACAGGAUCCCUCUGUUAAUUUGAGGACAGCCUGGUCUAAAAAAAAAAAAAAAAA
rnacentral:lncRNA from 1 species